UGACUUUGGGGAGCCGGCAACGGCACCCUAUUGUCGAGAAGUUGAUCAAACUUGGUCGUUUAGAGGAAGUAAAAGUCGUAACAAGGUUUCCGUAGGUGAACCUGCGGAAGGAUCAUUAUUGAAUAAACAUGGUGGGUUGUAGCUGGCUCCUCGGAGCAUGUGCACGCCUGCCGUCUUUAUCCAUCCACCUGUGCACACAUUGUAGUCUUGGAGGUAUGAUUAGCGACAGCUGUCGCGGGGCCCUAGGCCCGUCGUCCUCUGAGGUCUACGUUUAUCAUAAACCACGUAGUCAGUCGCAGAAUGAAGUAUUUGGGCCUUUGUGCCUAUAAAACAAAAUACAACUUUCAGCAACGGAUCUCUUGGCUCUCGCAUCGAUGAAGAACGCAGCGAAAUGCGAUAAGUAAUGUGAAUUGCAGAAUUCAGUGAAUCAUCGAAUCUUUGAACGCACCUUGCGCUCCUUGGUAUUCCGAGGAGCAUGCCUGUUUGAGUGUCAUUAAAUUCUCAACCCCUCCAGCUUUUGUGGCUGGUCGUGGCUUGGAUGUGGGGGUCUAUGCAGGUCUCUCCAGAGAUCAGCUCCCCUGAAAUGCAUUAGCGGAACCGUUUGCGAUCCGUCACCGGUGUGAUAAUUAUCUACGCCAACGACUGUGAACGCUCUCUGUUUUGUUCUGCUUCUAACUGUCUUGCAAAGGACAACUUAAAUGAACUCUUGACCUCAAAUCAGGUAGGACUACCCGCUGAACUUAAGCAUAUCAAUAAGCGGAGGAAAAGAAACUAACAAGGAUUCCCCUAGUAACUGCGAGUGAAGCGGGAAAAGCUCAAAUUUAAAAUCUGGCGGUCUUUGGCCGCCCGAGUUGUAAUCUAGAGAAGUGUUACCCGCGUUGGACCGUGUACAAG
rnacentral:rRNA from 1 species